rnacentral:lncRNA from 1 species
GCCUUACAGCCUGUGGUGGUUGCCGAAGAACUUUAAUUACAGUGUCAGAGUGUUCAGGGACAGUCCCAACUCCCUUCAUGUGAGGAUUGCAGAAAUGGGCUUGGAUCGUAUACAGACAGCGUUAUGAGGCAUUGCUGAAGAACAGAAAAGAAAAAACAACAAAGUUUCCAGCUCUUACUCUAGAUUGACACUGGACCUUGGAGAUGCUUGCAGCCACUAAAUGUAAUGCCACAUGAUUGUUGACCCAACAAUAAUCCAGUUAAAAAACAGUCUUCAGAGUUACUACAUCAUCAGAAUUAACCCUGAUUACAUCAAAUUAUGUUGAAACAGACCACAGCUGUUUGCCCUGUUGAAGCAACUGCUUGAGAGCUCCUCCGGAAGAUACAUCUGGGUGUCACUAAGAUACAUUUUGGGUUUAGUUUUGUUUCUCAACACAAAUGUAGGAGGGAAACAAACCCUGUUCUGCUGGGGUGCCUGGUGGGAGCUGAAAACCUUGUGAUUCUCCAGCAGUCAAAAGUCAUCUCAAUUACCAAAGAGAAGGGAACCUGAGAUCUUUUGUUUCAGUUUUCUAUAGGAAGGAUGUAAGAGGAAGGAAAUUCAAAUCUGUUGAGUAUUGCUCUUGCCAGCAAAAAGAAGUGGAACUGACUAGUGAGAUGGUGGUGAGAUUUUCUUUGGUGGCUGUGUGCAGUGGUAUCAACCCAGGAGAGUAGACUGUUCAAUUGUGAAGAAUUUUGCAAGAUGGUUGUUAAAGUAGAACAUCGUUAAAAUUAAGUUGUAAUAAAAAAAGGGAAAUAAGCAUUGGAAAAGAUGUGGACAGAUUGGAACCCUCAUACAUUGCUGAUGGGAAUGUAAAAUGGUGUAGCCACU